rnacentral:rRNA from 1 species
AAUCAACGCUGGCGGCGUGCCUAACACAUGCAAGUCGAACGCGAAAGCCCUUUCGGGGGUAAGUAGAGUGGCGUCCGGGUGAGUAACACGUAGGUAAUCUACCUUCGGGUGGGGAAUAACCAGUCGAAAGAUUGGCUAAUACCGCAUAAUGCAGCGGCACCUAAUGGUGAUUAGUUGUUAAAGACGGGGGAUCGUAAGAUCUCGCGCCUGAAGAGGAGCCUGCGGCAGAUUAGCUAGNGGUGAGGUAACGGCUCACCAAGGCUUCGAUCUGUAGCUGGUCUGAGAGGACGGCCAGCCACACUGGCACUGACACACGGGCCAGACUCCUACGGGAGCAGCAGUGGGAAUUUUGGGCAAUGGGCGAAAGCCUGACCCAGCAACGCCGCGUGAGGGAGGAAAUCCUUCGGGAUGUAAACCUCACAAG